rnacentral:rRNA from 1 species
AGCGCAUACGGUGGAUGCCUUGGCAGUCAGAGGCGAUGAAAGACGUGGUAGCCUGCGAAAAGCUUCGGGGAGUCGGCAAACAGACUGUGAUCCGGAGAUGUCUGAAUGGGGGAACCCAGCCAUCAUAAGAUGGUUAUCUUGUACUGAAUACAUAGGUGCAAGAGGCGAACCAGGGGAACUGAAACAUCUAAGUACCCUGAGGAAAAGAAAUCAACCGAGAUUCCCUUAGUAGUGGCGAGCGAACGGGGACCAGCCCUUAAGUUGUAUUGAGAUUAGCGGAACGUUCUGGAAAGGACGGCCAUAGUGGGUGAUAGCCCUGUACGCGAAAAUCCCUUUGCAAUGAAAUCGAGUAGGACGGGGCACGAGAAACCUUGUCUGAAUAUGGGGGGACCAUCCUCCAAGGCUAAAUACUACUGACUGACCGAUAGUGAACCAGUACCGUGAGGGAAAGGCGAAAAGAACCGCGGAGAGCGGAGUGAAAUAGAUCCUGAAACCGUAUGCGUACAAGCAGUGGGAGCCCACUUUGUUGGGUGACUGCGUACCUUUUGUAUAAUGGGUCAGCGACUUAUUUUCAGUGGCGAGCUUAACCGAAUAGGGGAGGCGUAGCGAAAGCGAGUCUUAAUAGGGCGUCUAGUCGCUGGGAAUAGACCCGAAACCGGGCGAUCUAUCCAUGGGCAGGUUGAAGGUUGGGUAACACUAACUGGAGGACCGAACCGACUACCGUUGAAAAGUUAGCGGAUGACCUGUGGAUCGGAGUGAAAGGCUAAUCAAGCUCGGAGAUAGCUGGUUCUCCUCGAAAGCUAUUUAGGUAGCGCCUCAUGUAUCACUGUAGGGGGUAGAGCACUGUUUCGGCUAGGGGGUCAUCCCGACUUACCAAACCGAUGCAAACUCCGAAUACCUACAAGUGCCGAGCAUGGGAGACACACGGCGGGUGCUAACGUCCGUCGUGAAAAGGGAAACAACCCAGACCGUCAGCUAAGGUCCCAAAGUCAUGGUUAAGUGGGAAACGAUGUGGGAAGGCUUAGACAGCUAGGAGGUUGGCUUAGAAGCAGCCACCCUUUAAAGAAAGCGUAAUAGCUCACUAGUCGAGUCGGCCUGCGCGGAAGAUGUAACGGGGCUCAAACCAUGCACCGAAGCUACGGGUAUCAUCUUAGGAUGAUGCGGUAGAGGAGCGUUCUGUAAGCCUGUGAAGGUGAGUUGAGAAGCUUGCUGGAGGUAUCAGAAGUGCGAAUGCUGACAUGAGUAACGACAAUGGGUGUGAAAAACACCCACGCCGAAAGACCAAGGUUUCCUGCGCAACGUUAAUCGACGCAGGGUUAGUCGGUCCCUAAGGCGAGGCUGAAAAGCGUAGUCGAUGGAAAACAGGUUAAUAUUCCUGUACUUCUGGUUAUUGCGAUGGAGGGACGGAGAAGGCUAGGCCAGCCUGGCGUUGGUUGUCCAGGUUUAAGGUGGUAGGCUGAGAUCUUAGGUAAAUCCGGGAUCUCAAGGCCGAGAGCUGAUGACGAGUGUUCUUUAGAACACGAAGUGGUUGAUGCCAUGCUUCCAAGAAAAGCUUCUAAGCUUCAGGUAACCAGGAACCGUACCCCAAACCGACACAGGUGGUUGGGUAGAGAAUACCAAGGCGCUUGAGAGAACUCGGGUGAAGGAACUAGGCAAAAUGGCACCGUAACUUCGGGAGAAGGUGCGCCGGUGAGGGUGAAGCAUUUACUGCGUAAGCCCACGCCGGUCGAAGAUACCAGGCCGCUGCGACUGUUUAUUAAAAACACAGCACUCUGCAAACACGAAAGUGGACGUAUAGGGUGUGACGCCUGCCCGGUGCCGGAAGGUUAAUUGAUGGGGUUAGCGCAAGCGAAGCUCUUGAUCGAAGCCCCGGUAAACGGCGGCCGUAACUAUAACGGUCCUAAGGUAGCGAAAUUCCUUGUCGGGUAAGUUCCGACCUGCACGAAUGGCGUAACGAUGGCGGCGCUGUCUCCACCCGAGACUCAGUGAAAUUGAAAUCGCUGUGAAGAUGCAGUGUAUCCGCGGCUAGACGGAAAGACCCCGUGAACCUUUACUAUAGCUUUGCACUGGACUUUGAAUUUGCUUGUGUAGGAUAGGUGGGAGGCUUUGAAGCGUGGACGCCAGUCUGCGUGGAGCCAACCUUGAAAUACCACCCUGGCAACUUUGAGGUUCUAACUCAGGUCCGUUAUCCGGAUCGAGGACAGUGUAUGGUGGGUAGUUUGACUGGGGCGGUCUCCUCCUAAAGAGUAACGGAGGAGUACGAAGGUGCGCUCAGACCGGUCGGAAAUCGGUCGUAGAGUAUAAAGGCAAAAGCGCGCUUGACUGCGAGACAGACACGUCGAGCAGGUACGAAAGUAGGUCUUAGUGAUCCGGUGGUUCUGUAUGGAAGGGCCAUCGCUCAACGGAUAAAAGGUACUCCGGGGAUAACAGGCUGAUACCGCCCAAGAGUUCAUAUCGACGGCGGUGUUUGGCACCUCGAUGUCGGCUCAUCACAUCCUGGGGCUGAAGCCGGUCCCAAGGGUAUGGCUGUUCGCCAUUUAAAGUGGUACGCGAGCUGGGUUUAGAACGUCGUGAGACAGUUCGGUCCCUAUCUGCCGUGGACGUUUGAGAUUUGAGAGGGGCUGCUCCUAGUACGAGAGGACCGGAGUGGACGAACCUCUGGUGUUCCGGUUGUCACGCCAGUGGCAUUGCCGGGUAGCUAUGUUCGGAAAAGAUAACCGCUGAAAGCAUCUAAGCGGGAAACUUGCCUCAAGAUGAGAUCUCACUGGAACCUUGAGUUCCCUAGAGGGCCGUCGAAGACUACGACGUUGAUAGGUUGGGUGUGUAAGCGCUGUGAGGCGUUGAGCUAACCAAUACUAAUUGCCCGUGAGGCUUGACC